rnacentral:misc_RNA from 1 species
AUAUGAAACACACAAGAGUGCUUAUAUAUACUUGUCCAACCCCAAGAAGCACAAAGAAUAAUUUCUGUAAGAAGCAAACAAUCAGUGCUAAAAAGUAUUAAAUUAUAGAGAGAAAAAUGCAAAGUCUUAAAGCUUUUUACGACUGUCUUAAAAAAUCUCGAUUUAUCUCCUACGCUAGAGUCCUCUCCACCAUCAACAAUUUUACUGCUCUCUGUGAUAACCUUCACAUUAAUGCGAUACUCGUUGAGGAGGAUGGCAUUUCACGUAUAGUAAUUCUCAAUAGACCUCGCGUCUUGAAUGCUCUUAAUAACAGUAUGAUAGUUUGCCUUAAGGAAUUGUAUCAGUCUUGGGAAACCGAUCCUGACGUUAGUUUUGUUGUGUUGAAGGGCAAUGGAAGGGCAUUUUGUGCAGGUGGAGAUGUUGUUAGUGUAUACCGAUUAAUUAGUCAAGGGAAGGAGGAAGAAUGUAAAGAAUAUUUUAGGACAUUAUAUAGUUUCAUGUACGUCCUAGGCACAUAUUCGAAGCCGCAUGUGGCAAUCUUGGAUGGCAUUACAAUGGGUGGAGGUGCAGGGAUUUCUAUCCACGGAGCUUAUCGAAUUGCAACUAAUAAGACUAUUUUUGCUAUGCCCGAAGUUCAUAUCGGCUUCCAUCCUGAUGUUGGGUCUUCUUAUUUUCUUUCACGUCUGCCUGGUCACUUGGGAGAAUAUUUGGCUUUAACAGGAGAUACUCUGAGCGGAGAAGAAAUGCUUGCUUGUGGACUUGCAUCUCACUAUUUAACCACUGCAAGGCUUUCUUCGAUGGAAGAGCAACUUGGCAUGUUAAUUGCGGAUGAUUUUUCGGAUAUUGAAACUUUUCUAGCAAAAUACGCAGACUCUGCAAUUCCAAGUGAAAAAAGUGUUCUUCAUAGGUGUAUUCAUAUAUGAAAAACAACAUUAUUUUGGAAUCUAUAUAUCAGUAAUAAUCAUGCUUCCUAUUUCAAAUUUCUUUUCAUUCAUUUUUAUAUUAUUAAUUUGGUGUGUAUUUUGAUGAUUAUAGGCUUGAGUUGGUGAAUAAAUGUUUUGGCCAUGGCACAGUUGAGGAAAUUGUGAAUGCUUUGGAAAAUGAAACCGCCAAAUCAAAUGAUGAGUGGUGCAUAUCAACACUCAAAAAACUAAGAGAGGUUUCACCGCUGAGCUUGAAGAUCUCCUUAAAAUCUAUACAAGAAGGAAGAUACCAAACACUUUCACAAUGCCUUGCUCGCGAGUACCGGAUGACAGUCAAAGCAAUUUCCAGGCAGAUCUCCAAUGACUUUUGCGAGGGAAUUCGAAGCCGAUUGGUGGACAAAUGUUUUACACCAAAGUGGGAUCCGCCAUGCUUAGAACAAGUGUCCCAAGACAUGGUGAAUGCAUACUUUGCACCUCUUCCUAUAAAUGAGCCUGACCUCGAGUUACCUUGCUGCUAGAGAAGCCUUUGCUUGGAUCAUAAUGCAGGUGUAUAUACAUAAAUAUAAACGCUUUCAUAUUACUCGUGUUGAGUCGACAUGUUCUUGGCCAAGGUCAAGAUUACUGUUAUAUGAUGCCCAAAUCAUUCUCCAUGGAAAAGAAAAGAAUUUCAAGAAAUUAUUAAGAGCACAAACUACUAACGUCUUCUCUAGGAUUGAUUUCACUUGAAAUCUUGAUUAUAAUAUGUGGGAGUUUUGUCUCUAUAUAUAAACUAAAUUUUGC